rnacentral:rRNA from 1 species
GAUGAACGCUGGCGGCAUGCCUAAGACAUGCAAGUCGUACGAGGAGGCCCAUUGAAGAUGAAGUGCUUGCACAGAUUUGGAUUUGGAUUCCCUCCUAGUGGCAAACGGGUGAGUAACACGUGGGUUACCUACCUUUAUGUUGGGGAUAACAGUUGGAAACGAUUGCUAAUACCGAAUGUGCUCUACGGAGUAAAGAAGCCUUUAAAGCUUCGCAUAAAGAUGAGCCUGCGGUGCAUUAGCUUGUUGGUGGGGUAAUGGCCUACCAAGGCAACGAUGCAUAGCCGAACUGAGAGGUUGAUCGGCCACACUGGGACUGAGACACGGCCCAG